AUACGGAGGAUGCAAGCGUUAUCCGGAUUUAUUGGGUUUAAAGGGUGCGUAGGCGGUUUGCUAAGCGGGAGGUGAAAUGCCGGCGCUCAACGUCGGAAGUGCCUCCCGAACUGGUGGACUUGAAUGACUCUGCCGUGGGAGGAAUGUGUAGUGUAGCGGUGAAAUGCUUAGAGAUUACACAGAACACCGAUUGCGAAGGCAUCUCACGAAGGGUUGAUUGACGCUGAGGCACGAAAGCGUGGGGAUCAAACAGGAUUAGAUUCCCUGGUAGUCCACGCAGUAAACGAUGAUGGCUAACCGCUGGGCUUAUCAGUUCAGUGGCCAAGCGAAAGCGAUAAGCCAUCCACCUGGGGAGUACGACCGCAAGGUUGAAACUCAAAUGAAUUGACGGGG
rnacentral:rRNA from 1 species